CUCUGUCUGGCAGGAAGAACAAAGCAACAACUAGUUAUUUGGAGCCCUGUUUUCAUCCUUUAGGAGUUCGAUUCAGGACACGAAGCAGUAGAAGAAAUUGUAGAUCAAGGAAAAGAAUAUCGUCUUGGAGUGGCAUUUUGGAGCAGUUGGAGCCGGUAUUCUCAGGAGAAGUAACUGAAAAAGUUGUAGAUCAAGGACCACAAUUCAGUAGGAGCUCGCCUUUGCAUUUAAGAGGACCAAAGCAGCUCCCAAGAGGCCAAGAUGAAGAGGAAAAAACCUCCCGAUAGAAAGCCAUG